UCUUUGCUUAACAACAAUUCUUGGGAAGCACUUUCAUUAACACUAUCAUUCAACUGACACGCAUUCUCUCUAUACAUUCUCCAGCUGUUUUCUUUUUGAAUUCAACUGGCACGCAUUCUCUCUGUACAUUCUACAGCUGUUUUCUUUUGAUUUGCAAAAAUAGGAAGAACUUACCGGAAUGGUUAGCGUCAUAACAAAGAAAUUCAAAUCUGUGCCAGAAGUGUGGCGUUCCGCUGCUAACACAUUGUUUGCCAUAGGAAUCAACAGUUGCUGCAUAAGGCAUUGAGUAGUUUGGCAGAGCGAGAACAUGUAAACACGAUCAUUAUGUUUGCGAAUCUGAACCAAAAAUAUGGACGAUGCGAAAUGGCUCAGACUCUGCUUGAUCAGAUCGUUACUUCAUAUCCCAAACGAGUCGUUUUCUGAGCAAUUGCUUGUUGCUCGUAAAGUAGACAAAGAAAAAAAAGAAAAUGAAAGUGAUUAUACCCGCCUUUCUAUUCGCACUUUGUAAAACAGUUGGGAGUAUUUAAUACACUUAUAUCAAAUAUCACAGGAGAAUGGGUGAACAAGUGCAAACGGGAUGUGUAUCUCCGUAAUCGUCAUCAAUAUGCGCUACUGUAGCCAGAUUUUUUUGUCAGGACUCACGAAGAGCUAAUGACGAUAGAAGCACUUACAUUGCUAAACUUCAAAGUCAUGCGAAAAUCUAAUCGCAAUAAUACUCCCGGCAGGGAAUGCUCCUAAUUCGCGGUUAAAUGCGAAAUGGUUGAGAGAAAAAAAGAAAUAAAUAAAUUGUAGUUAAUUCUGUUUGACGAAUGAUAUGGAAAAGUUUCGAAAAGGAAUUUCCAUUGGCAAAAUUUGUAAGGUAUUGUGACCGUUAUGUAACCAUAUAUUGAGAGACGAAGAUGUUUAAAUGUAUCGACCGAUUGUCUUACGUUCGAUCCAUCAUUUAAAAUAUCCUCGUGUGCUAGGCAUAAAUAAGUAAAAAAGUCUCAAUUCGCUUUGAAUGAAUAUUUGAUAACCAUACGCAUAAAUUUAGAGAUUAAUUUUACCUCCAAUUCUUAAUUAAGCUAAGAAUAGGUCAUCUGGAAAAUAUUAAUAGGAUAAUAGAGCACGAUCUUGUACAAAAUGUUGUCUUAACUGAAUAUGAUUUGAAUGAAUUAGGUGAAAAAUAUUGAAACUGAAUUUAGACUAAAUUAUUUAAAAUUAAAUCGGAUUAAAUCGGAUUGAAUUGAAAUUGCAUAAACUUGAACUGAAAAGUAAAGCAAAAGUUAUAGUCGCUUAUCCAAUCGUGGCUUCUUCAAAUUCUAAAUUAAGGCACUCUCAUAGGUUGAAGCCUGUCAUACAUAUUAAAUCCUUUAAAAAUUCAACGAAAUCAUUAACAUUUUUCUAAUCUGAUUUCUUCACACUUGUUUCUAUUCUAUGGAAAUAAAAACUUACUUUUAUUAAAUGGCCAUCACCCGCUAUAAGGGGAAUCCAGACAAGUUAGAUAGAUGUUUAACUAUAGUUGAGCAAAUCGGGCUGCACGUGAAAGCAGUAGUCUGUAAUAGGGGCCAACAAAAUAUGUAUACGCUGGCGAAAUUCAAAAACGGAAAAUACAAAGAGGAAGAUAAUGUCCAAUUCUUCACCCCUGCAGCAGUAGCAACCUUAAAACUGGCAGUUCAGCGGAAAGUUAUCAAGGAGAACAAAGUAAUGCGAACAUACGAAGCCAUCGCUUCUCUAAUCAAAUUCGUCAAAAUUUUUCACAGUAACAAAAUCUGCAGCGCCAAAUGGGAGGAGCAGAAAGUGGUGCUAGCGGAACUUAAAAAAUAUUUCAAUAAUAACUUCGACGCGGACGAAAUAGUUGACGCAACCAUUGAAAGCAUGGACAAUUUCAUGGAAUUAAUAGAUGGGCUGCGAAAUGCUUACCCUGGCGUCAGUAAGUAAAAGAACCGGACCAGGCAGCCGGAAAUAGUAAUGAAGCUGGUCACCCGACUAAUGAACCGGCAAGUCGAAGUAUGGGGAAGCGGCACCACAAUAGCUCAUGAUUAUGAUCUAAUCGAUAAGUUUGAUUACACGAUACAAGCCCAGGCCGAAGAGGAGUUUGUGCCAUAUGGUCUGGAUGGGGUGCCAUUCAACGUAGCCCCCACGCGACUUACGAGAAGGGAUAAGGAGUAUUUCAUGGUGCUCACGGGCUUUGGCAUAGGUCAAUAUGUACGGGAGCAGUUGAGAUGUCCGGCAUGCCUCGAGAACCUGGCCAUAACAAAAGAAGAGGCAUGCUCAGAAGCUAACGGCGUACUUGUCGCCAAGCAUCCCGAUCACAAUACAAUCCUGGCGCACGAGAAUCUCGAACUACGAAUUUCCAGAACACAAAGUCGAUGAGGUUUUUUUAAAAGCCUUCAGCGUGCACCUGAACAUUAUGGAAUAUCACAUAGUGGAGCGCCGAACAAAUCUUCUGGGCUUCAUCAUCAAUUUGUUGCUGAGUCGAAAAAACUGGGUGCAAGAAGAGUUGAAAAUGUGUCAUCAUUUUAAAGAUAUCAGCACAUCAGCAAGGAUCCAGAUCAAUUUAUAAGUAUCUUCUAUAUACUUAUUAUGUACCUAUAUUAUGUAUUAACGGAGCUUAGAUUUAUUUAUUAUUAUAUAGAUAUUAUAUAGAUAUAUUAUAGUUUUAAAUUAAGUUUAUAAUGGCGUAGGCCUACAGCUGAGCCAGCCAUUUAAAAAAAUUGGCAACGCGCCUAUCACGGCAUGCCAAGGGUCGUGCGGAAAACCGUGAAAUUUAUAUUGAUAUGUUCAAUUAUAAUAAUGAAAAAUUAUAGAAAGACUAUUCUUCCUUCCACAUUGGAUUGGCAAGAAAAAACUAAAACUUCAUUCGUUUUCUCUUAAUUGUAUUGAUCUAAAAUUAGUAAAAAUGUUACAGUGGGCUAUUAUUUUAAAAAGUAUUUCGAUGAAUACCCGUACUGAGCGAAGGUGGAUAGGGUAUUUAACGCACUUUGUUUAAAAAGUGCCUUCUUCACUGUAACUUUUUCUUAUUCCUGCAGCUUAAGUUUUAAUUCAUUUUUUUUCGUUAAUUCAUUUUUAAAAUAAACUCAUUUCAACCAAAGUUUGCAACUUUUUUUAAUUUUACAUCAUUAUUUUGUCGUAAUGCACUCAACAUGUCUGCAUGUAAAAGCCGAGUUUAUAAUCUAAAUAUUUGAGGCACAUUUCUUAUGGGCUUAGUACAUUUACACUCAAUAUUUAAAACAAAAUAAUAAUAAAACCAACUCUUUGAAUUAUUCUCAAUUC